CUGCUCCCCUAUUUCUGUAUCUGGUGUAAGUCCAUAUACAAAGAUUAUAAAUGCAAAACAAAAAAACAAAAUGAAAAACAGGAAAAACUGAUCUCCCAGUAUUUUUUCAAAGAGUAAAAUGUUGAUACACUUAGAAAAAUCAUAGUGUCAUCUGGGUUGGUUCAUUCAUUGGUGUGUACUCUAUUUCCACCAAAAAGUUAGUGUUCAUGUCAACACUACUUCUGAAAAAUAUGCUAGUCUAUCUUUUUUGACCUAAAAUCUUAGGACACAAAUGACCCUAGGGGAACACCCAGAAACCAAUGCUGCUGCUGCUAAGUUGCUUCAGUCGUGUCUGACUCUGUGUGACCCUACAGAUGGCAGCUCACCAGGCUCUCCCGUCCCUGGGAUUCUCCAGGCAAGAAUACUGGAGUGGGUUGCCAUUUCCUUCUCCAAUGCAUGAAAGUGAAAAGUGAAAGUGAAGUCGCUCAGUCGUGUCCGACUUUUAGCGACCCCAUGGACUGCAGCCCACCAGGCUCCUCCGUCCAUGGGAUUUUCCAGGCAAGUGUACUGGAGUGGGGUGCCAUUGCCUUCUCCGAGAACUAAGAGUUACAAGUAUAUAAAAAGUCAGUAUCUCUAAGAAGAGAUAACCAUUCCUAAAAAUGUCAGUUGGUUGAACAUCAAAAACUCCAUUUGAGUUAUCAAGAAAUUUUGGACCCAUUGUAAACUUCCAUCUUCCAGGAAACUUUAGGGCCUGCUAGACUCUAGACACUGUUUUAUUAUUCCUCUUUUCUAUUUAUGUAUUUAAUUUUGGUUGUACUAGGUCUUUGUAGCUAUCCAUAGGCGUUCUAUAGUUGUAGCGAGUGGGGGCUACUCUGUACUUGGGAUGCAAGGGCUUCUUGUUGUAGAGCUUGGGCUCUAGGCUCAUGGGCUUCAGUAGUUGCAGCACGUGGUGGGCUCAGUAACUGUGGCUUGAGGGCUCUAGACUCAGUAGUUGUGGUACAUAGGCUUAACUGCCCUGUGGCAUGCAGAAUCUUACCGGACCAGGGAUUGAAUCCAUGUGCCCUGCACUGCCAGGCAGAUUCUCAACCACUGGACCACCAGGGAAGUCCAACUGUGGACACUUUAGAUGUACUAUUUCAUUUUACCUUCCUGGUGUCUCUGUGAGGCAGUUGGUAUUGUUUGCAGUUAACAUAAUGCCCAGAAACCUGCAAAGGAAAGUGGGUUUUGAACCCAGACCAAUCCCACAAUCUAAUGAAGAUGCUACAUACGGGGC
ensembl:lncRNA